rnacentral:rRNA from 1 species
ACAGCAGUCGCCACGGUAAUACGUAGGGUGCAAGCGUUAAUCGGAAUUACUGGGCGUAAAGCGUGCGCAGGCGGUUUUGUAAGACAGAGGUGAAAUCCCCGGGCUCAACCUGGGAACUGCCUUUGUGACUGCAAGGCUAGAGUACGGCAGAGGGGGAUGGAAUUCCGCGUGUAGCAGUGAAAUGCGUAGAUAUGCGGAGGAACACCGAUGGCGAAGGCAAUCCCCUGGGCCUGUACUGACGCUCAUGCACGAAAGCGUGGGGAGCAAACAGGAUUAGAUACCCCGGUAGUCCCUGUCUCUUAUAA